CUCUUGAGUGGAUCCUGAGUACGACGGAGCACGUGAAAUUCCGUCGGAAUCUGGGAGGACCAUCUCCUAAGGCUAAAUACUCUCUAGUGACCGAUAGUGAACCAGUACCGUGAGGGAAAGGUGAAAAGCACCCCGGAAGGGGAGUGAAAUAGAACCUGAAACCGUGUGCUUACAAGUAGUCAGAGCCCGUUAAUGGGUGAUGGCGUGCCUUUUGUAGAAUGAACCGGCGAGUUACGAUUUGAUGCAAGGUUAAGCAGUAAAUGUGGAGCCGUAGCGAAAGCGAGUCUGAAUAGGGCGUUUAGUAUUUGGUCGUAGACCCGAAACCAGGUGAUCUACCCUUGGUCAGGUUGAAGUUCAGGUAACACUGAAUGGAGGACCGAACCGACUUACGUUGAAAAGUGAGCGGAUGAACUGAGGGUAGCGGAGAAAUUCCAAUCGAACCUGGAGAUAGCUGGUUCUCUCCGAAAUAGCUUUAGGGCUAGCCUCAAGUGAUGAUUAUUGGAGGUAGAGCACUGUUUGGACGAGGGGCCCCUCUCGGGUUACCGAAUUCAGACAAACUCCGAAUGCCAAUUAAUUUAACUUGGGAGUCAGAACAUGGGUGAUAAGGUCCGUGUUCGAAAGGGAAACAGCCCAGACCACCAGCUAAGGUCCCAAAAUAUAUGUUAAGUGGAAAAGGAUGUGGCGUUGCCCAGACAACUAGGAUGUUGGCUUAGAAGCAGCCAUCAUUUAAAG
rnacentral:rRNA from 1 species